rnacentral:misc_RNA from 1 species
ACCUACCGCAACCCUCCUCCUUUUCUUUUCCCUUUUAUUUUUUUUUUAAAAAAAACCCCAUCACAGUUUAUUGUGAUAUUCUUUUUUCCUUUUUGGACUGGAAGCUGAUUCUAAUAGUUUGUUCUCUCAGAUUAUGCUUUGAUAUGCUUAUUACAGAUUUUGGGCAUAACGUUGUUGCAGAUGUUGGGUACUUUACCGAUGCAUUGGAUUAUUUAUAUUUUUGUUACCUUUUUGCAGUAUGAUCUCAUGAUUUUAGUUCAGUGGCUUAUGAUUCGAAA